rnacentral:pre_miRNA from 1 species
AGUGGGAUAGUUGGGUCAAAUGGUGGUUUCAUUCCAAGUUUUUCGAGGAAUCUCUAUACUGCUUUCCAGAUUGCCUGUACCAAUUUGCAGUCCCACCAGCAAU